rnacentral:rRNA from 1 species
GCAGCCGCCGCGGGAAUACGAAGGGUGCAAGCGUUACUCGGAAUUACUGGGCGUAAAGCGUGCGUAGGUGGUGGUUUAAGUCCGUUGUGAAAGCCCUGGGCUCAACCUGGGAAUUGCAGUGGAUACUGGAUCACUAGAGUGUGGUAGAGGAUAGUGGAAUGUCCGGUGUAGCAGUGAAAUGCGUAGAGAUCGGAAGGAACAUCUGUGGCGAAGGCGACUAUCUGGGCCAACACUGACACUGAGGCUCGAAGGCUAGGGUAGCGAAAGGGAUUAGAUACCCCGGUAGUCCCUGUCUCUUAUAC